rnacentral:rRNA from 1 species
AUACGGAGGGUGCAAGCGUUACUCGGAAUCACUGGGCGUAGAGCGCGCGCAGGCGGGCUGAUAAGUUGGAUGUGAAAGCCUACGGCUCAACCGUAGAACUGCAUCCAAAACUGUCAGUCUAGAGUGUGGGAGAGGAAGAUGGAAUUAGUUGUGUAGGGGUAAAAUCCGUAGAGAUAACUAGGAAUACCAAAAGCGAAGGCAAUCUUCUGGAACACUACUGACGCUGAGGCGCGAAGGCGUGGGGAGCAAACAGGAUUAGAAACCCGAGUAGUCC